CAGUAGCCGCGGUAAUACGUAGGUGGCAAGCGUUGUCCGGAAUUAUUGGGCGUAAAGGGCUCGCAGGCGGUUUCUUAAGUCUGAUGUGAAAGCCCCCGGCUCAACCGGGGAGGGUCAUUGGAAACUGGGAAACUUGAGUGCAGAAGAGGAGAGUGGAAUUCCACGUGUAGCGGUGAAAUGCGUAGAGAUGUGGAGGAACACCAGUGGCGAAGGCGACUCUCUGGUCUGUAACUGACGCUGAGGAGCGAAAGCGUGGGGAGCGAACAGGAUUAGAUACCCCGUAGUCCCUGUCUCUUAUACA
rnacentral:rRNA from 1 species